GAUGAAGAACGCAGCGAAAUGCGAUAAGUAAUGCGAAUUGCAGAAUUUCCGUGAGUCAUCGAAUCUUUGAACGCACAUUGCGCCCACUGGUAUUCCGGUGGGCAUGCCUGUUCGAGCGUCAUUAUCCUCCCUCAAACCCCGGGUUUGGAGUUGGACCCAAGUUGUGUGAACAACUGGUCUCAAAGACAAUGACGGCGUCCGUGGGACCCUCGGUGCAACGAGCUUUUAGGAGCACGCAUCGAGUUGCAAGGACCUUCCGGGCCGGUCUCCUUUACCAUUUUACAAGGUUGACCUCGGAUCAGGUAGGAAUACCCGCUGAACUUAAGCAUAUCAAUAAGCGGAGGA
rnacentral:misc_RNA from 1 species